rnacentral:rRNA from 1 species
CCUACGGGCGGCAGCAGUGAGGAAUAUUGGUCAAUGGACGAGAGUCUGAACCAGCCAAGUAGCGUGAAGGAUGACUGCCCUAAGGGUUGUAAACUUCUUUUAUAUGGGAAUAAAAUGUUCCACGUGUGGGAUUUUGUAUGUACCUUAUGAAUAAGGAUCGGCUAACUCCGUGCCAGCAGCCGCGGUAAUACGGAGGAUGCGAGCGUUAUCCGGAUUUAUUGGGUUUAAAGGGAGCGUAGGUGGAUUGUUAAGUCAGUUGUGAAAGUUUGCGGCUCAACCGUAACAUUGCCGUUGAAACUGGCAGUCUUGAGUAGAGGAGAAGUAUGCGGAAUGCGUGGUGUAGCGGUGAAAUGCUUAGAUAUCACGAAGAACUCCGAUUGCGAAGGCAGCACACCGGACUGACACUGACGCUGAGGCACGAAAGUGUGGGUAUCAAACAGGAUUAGAUACCCGAGUAGUC